rnacentral:rRNA from 1 species
GACGAACGCUGGCGGCGUGCCUAACACAUGCAAGUGGAGCGACGAACCAGGCUUCGGCCUGGGGCAGAGCCGCGAACGGGUGAGUAACACGUGGGUAACCUGCCCUGAUGAUCGGGACAACCCGGGGAAACCCGGGCUAAUACCGAAUGUGCCCGCGAGCCGCAAGGCUUGCGAGGAAAGGAAGCUUCGGCCUCCGCAUCGGGAUGGGCCCGCGGCCCAUUAGCUUGUUGGUGGGGUAACGGCCUACCAAGGCAGCAAUGGGUAGCUGGUCUGAGAGGACGAUCAGCCACACUGGGACUGAGACACGGCCCAGACUCCUACGGGAGGGCAGCAGUGGGGAAUCUUGCGCAAUGCGCGAAAGCGUGACGCAGCAACGCCGCGUGGGGAAGACGG